AAGGGUAUAGCUCAGUGGUAGAGCGCAUGCUUAGCAUACAUGAGGUGCUGGAUUCAAUCCCUAAUACCCCCA
rnacentral:tRNA from 1 species